UACAGAGGGUGCGAGCGUUAAUCGGAAUUACUGGGCGUAAAGCGUGCGUAGACGGUAGCGUAAGUCAGAUGUGAAAGCCCCGGGCUCAACCUGGGAAUUGCAUUUGAGACUGCUCUGCUCGGGUGCGGAAGAGGGAAGCGGAAUUUCCGGUGUAGCGGUGAAAUGCGUAGAUAUCGGAAGGAACACCAGUGGCGAAAGCGACUUCCUGGUCGAAUACUGACGUUCAUGUGCGAAAGCGUGGGGAGCAAACAGG
rnacentral:rRNA from 1 species